AUGUUGAUGCAAGACUACUUUGCGGAGAAUCAAACAUAUCCACCUCACCUCUUCCGGAGAAGGUACCGAAUGCGCUGAUCCCUCUUUGUUAGACUUGUUCAAGCUUGCGAGGUCAAUUGUCGAUAUUUUACGCAACGAAGAAAUGUCGCGGUCUUGAAGGGAUUUAAUGCAUAUCAAAAAAUCUCAUCAGCUAUGCGGGUGAUUGUGUAUGGGGUUUUGGAUGGUUAUGCCGAUGCGUAUCUUCACAUUGGUGAAGAUACAACAAUUAAGUCGGUGCAUAGAUUUACCAAAGUGAUCGUCCGUGUCUUUGGUCCUGAAUAUCUUCGGGCACCGAACGAGGAUGACACAAAGAAAUUGAUGACAUCUAAUGAGAGGAGAGGGUGGCCCGGCAUGCUAGGUAGCAUUGAUUGUAUGCAUUGGAUAUGGAAAAAUUGCCCGAAGGCAUGGCAAGGAAUAUAUUGUGGCAAGUCUCGUGAUGCCACGAUUGUUCUAGAGGCCGUAGCAUCCGAGGAUUUAUGGAUUUGGCAUUGCUUUUUUGGUAUGUCGGGCACUCUCAAUGAUAUCAAUGUGUUACAACAGUCUCAUUUGUUUGCUACACUUGCUAGUGGUGAUGCUCCUGCUUGCAACUACACAAUCAAUGGGCAUGAAUACACAAAAGGGUACUAUCUUGCUGAUGGUAUAUACCCUUUUUGGUGCACAUUUGUCAAGAUCAUCAAAGAACCAAAAACUAAAAAAUAA
rnacentral:rRNA from 1 species